GAUGAAGAACGCAGCGAAAUGCGAUAAGUAAUGUGAAUUGCAGAAUUCCGUGAAUCAUCGAAUCUUUGAACGCAUAUUGCGCCCUCUGGUAUUCCGGGGGGCAUGCCUGUCCGAGCGUCAUUACAACCUUCAAGCACGGCUUGUGUGUUGAGCGGUCUGUUCUUGAUGAACAGGGCUCGAAAUGCAGCGGCGAUGGCGAGAUUGGUGCCCGAGUGUAUGGGGCUCUGUCACACGCUCUGGUGGCUCCAGCUUGCAGUCUGCCCAAACUGUUGUAUAUAUAUGCUCUGUAUAUAUAUACCCAAACCCAUCUAAUUGACCUCGGAUCAGGUAGGAACACCCGCUGAACUUAAGCAUAUCAAUAAGCGGAGGA
rnacentral:misc_RNA from 1 species